GACGAACGCUGGCGGCGUGCUUAACACAUGCAAGUCGAACGGAAAGGCCCUGCUUUUGUGGGGUGCUCGAGUGGCGAACGGGUGAGUAACACGUGAGUAACCUGCCCUUGACUUUGGGAUAACUUCAGGAAACUGGGGCUAAUACCGGAUAGGAGCUCCUGCUGCAUGGUGGGGGUUGGAAAGUUUCGGCGGUUGGGGAUGGACUCGCGGCUUAUCAGCUUGUUGGUGGGGUAGUGGCUUACCAAGGCUUUGACGGGUAGCCGGCCUGAGAGGGUGACCGGCCACAUUGGGACUGAGAGACGGCCCAGACUCCUACGGGAGGCAGCAGUGGGGAAUAUUGCACAAGGGGCGGAAGCCUGAUGCAGCAACGCCGCGUGCGGGAUGACGGCCUUCGGGUUGUAAACCGCUUUCGCCUGUGACGAAGCGUGAGUGACUGUAAUGGGUAAAGAAGCACCGGCUAACUACG
rnacentral:rRNA from 1 species